rnacentral:rRNA from 1 species
UACGUAGGGACCGAGCGUUGUCCGGAUUCAUUGGGCGUAAAGAGCUCGUAGGCGGCCACUCAAGUCGAAUGUGAAACCUCGAGGCUUAACCUCGAGCCUGCAUUCGAUACUGCGCGGCUAGAGUCUGGUAGGGGGAUCUGGAAUUCCUGGUGUAGCGGUGGAAUGCGCAGAUAUCAGGAGGAACACCGGUGGCGAAGGCGGGAUCCUGGGCCAGUACUGACGCUGAGGAGCGAAAGCGUGGGGAGCAAACAGG